rnacentral:rRNA from 1 species
ACAUAUUAAUAAUACCAUUGUGUUAUUGAUUUAUUUUAUGUUUUGGUUUUGGGGGGAGAAGCCCACAAAAAUUAUAUAAGUAUUUUACUUAAAUUAAUUACAUAAGCCUGAAAUUAGCUAUUGUUAGGGAGUUUGUUAUAAAGUAAUUUAGAUAUAAAGAAAAAUAAAUAUACUAUUUUAUAACAGCGGCAAUAAAGAAAACUAAAUUUAAAUUUAUUUAUGCUAAAAUGAGUAUUAACUUGCCAAUUAAAUAUGUAUUAAUUAAAAAUAACCUAUAAAUAUACUUUACCUAAGAAUAAGUAAAAAUAAGGAACUCGGCAAAUAAAGGCUUCGCCUGUUUAUCAAAAACAUGGCUCUUUGAAUUACUUUUUAUAGGGAGUCGUACCUGCCCAGUGAAGUUUUAACGGCCGCGGUACCCUAACCGUGCAAAGGUAGCAUAAUCAUUUGCCUUAUAAUUAAAGGCUUGUAUGAAUGGUUUGACGAAGCGUUACUGUCUAUUUUUUAUUUUAUAGAAUUUGACUUCCAGGUGAAGAGGCCUGGGUAUAAUUGAAAGACAAGAAGACCCUAUCGAGCUUAAGAAUAAAUUAAAAAUAGAUUAUAAGUUAAAAUCACUUAUUAGUUAAUUUCUUUGGUUGGGGCGACCUAGGAACAAAUAAAGCUUCCUAUAUAUCUUUAAUUAAUAAAUAAUGAUCCAGUAAGGCUGAUCAGUAGAAUUAGUUACCGUAGGGAUAACAGCAUAAUCUCCCUUAAGAGACCUAAUCGAAAGGGGGGGUUGUGACCUCGAUGUUGGACUAUAAUAUCCUAAAGAUGUAGAAGUCUUU